rnacentral:rRNA from 1 species
CCUUGGCAGUCAGAGGCGAUGAAAGACGUGGUAGCCUGCGAAAAGCUUCGGGGAGUCGGCAAACAGACUUUGAUCCGGAGAUCUCUGAAUGGGGGAACCCACCUAGGAUAACCUAGGUAUCUUGUACUGAAUCCAUAGGUGCAAGAGGCGAACCAGGGGAACUGAAACAUCUAAGUACCCUGAGGAAAAGAAAUCAACCGAGAUUCCCUUAGUAGUGGCGAGCGAACGGGGAUUAGCCCUUAAGCUUCAUUGAUUUUAGCGGAACGCUCUGGAAAGUGCGGCCAUAGUGGGUGAUAGCCCCGUACGCGAAAGGAUCUUUGAAGUGAAAUCGAGUAGGACGGAGCACGAGAAACUUUGUCUGAACAUGGGGGGACCAUCCUCCAAGGCUAAAUACUACUGACUGACCGAUAGUGAACCAGUACCGUGAGGGAAAGGCGAAAAGAACCCCGGAGAGGGGAGUGAAAUAGAACCUGAAACCGUAUGCGUACAAGCAGUGGGAGCCUACUUGUUAGGUGACUGCGUACCUUUUGUAUAAUGGGUCAGCGACUUAUAUUCAGUGGCAAGCUUAACCGUAUAGGGUAGGCGUAGCGAAAGCGAGUCUUAAUAGGGCGUUUAGUCGCUGGGUAUAGACCCGAAACCGGGCGAUCUAUCCAUGAGCAGGUUGAAGGUUAGGUAACACUGACUGGAGGACCGAACCCACUCCCGUUGAAAAGGUAGGGGAUGACUUGUGGAUCGGAGUGAAAGGCUAAUCAAGCUCGGAGAUAGCUGGUUCUCCUCGAAAGCUAUUUAGGUAGCGCCUCAUGUAUCACUCUGGGGGGUAGAGCACUGUUUCGGCUAGGGGGUCAUCCCGACUUACCAAACCGAUGCAAACUCCGAAUACCCAGAAGUGCCGAGCAUGGGAGACACACGGCGGGUGCUAACGUCCGUCGUGAAAAGGGAAACAACCCAGACCGCCAGCUAAGGUCCCAAAGUUGUGGUUAAGUGGUAAACGAUGUGGGAAGGCUUAGACAGCUAGGAGGUUGGCUUAGAAGCAGCCAUCCUUUAAAGAAAGCGUAAUAGCUCACUAGUCGAGUCGGCCUGCGCGGAAGAUGUAACGGGGCUCAAACCACACACCGAAGCUGCGGGUGUCACGUAAGUGACGCGGUAGAGGAGCGUUCUGUAAGCCUGUGAAGGUGAGUUGAGAAGCUUGCUGGAGGUAUCAGAAGUGCGAAUGCUGACAUGAGUAACGACAAUGGGUGUGAAAAACACCCACGCCGAAAGACCAAGGGUUCCUGCGCAACGUUAAUCGACGCAGGGUUAGUCGGUUCCUAAGGCGAGGCUGAAAAGCGUAGUCGAUGGGAAACAGGUUAAUAUUCCUGUACUUCUGGUUACUGCGAUGGAGGGACGGAGAAGGCUAGGCCAGCUUGGCGUUGGUUGUCCAAGUUUAAGGUGGUAGGCUGAAAUCUUAGGUAAAUCCGGGGUUUCAAGGCCGAGAGCUGAUGACGAGUCGUCUUUUAGAUGACGAAGUGGUUGAUGCCAUGCUUCCAAGAAAAGCUUCUAAGCUUCAGGUAACCAGGAACCGUACCCCAAACCGACACAGGUGGUCGGGUAGAGAAUACCAAGGCGCUUGAGAGAACUCGGGUGAAGGAACUAGGCAAAAUGGCACCGUAACUUCGGGAGAAGGUGCGCCGGCUAGGGUGAAGGAUUUACUCCGUAAGCUCUGGCUGGUCGAAGAUACCAGGCCGCUGCGACUGUUUAUUAAAAACACAGCACUCUGCAAACACGAAAGUGGACGUAUAGGGUGUGACGCCUGCCCGGUGCCGGAAGGUUAAUUGAUGGGGUUAGCGCAAGCGAAGCUCUUGAUCGAAGCCCCGGUAAACGGCGGCCGUAACUAUAACGGUCCUAAGGUAGCGAAAUUCCUUGUCGGGUAAGUUCCGACCUGCACGAAUGGCGUAACGAUGGCGGCGCUGUCUCCACCCGAGACUCAGUGAAAUUGAAAUCGCUGUGAAGAUGCAGUGUAUCCGCGGCUAGACGGAAAGACCCCGUGAACCUUUACUGUAGCUUUGCACUGGACUUUGAGCCUGCUUGUGUAGGAUAGGUGGGAGGCUUUGAAGCGUGGACGCCAGUUCGCGUGGAGCCAUCCUUGAAAUACCACCCUGGCAUGCUUGAGGUUCUAACUCUGGUCCGUAAUCCGGAUCGAGGACAGUGUAUGGUGGGCAGUUUGACUGGGGCGGUCUCCUCCUAAAGAGUAACGGAGGAGUACGAAGGUGCGCUCAGACCGGUCGGAAAUCGGUCGCAGAGUAUAAAGGCAAAAGCGCGCUUGACUGCGAGACAGACACGUCGAGCAGGUACGAAAGUAGGUCUUAGUGAUCCGGUGGUUCUGUAUGGAAGGGCCAUCGCUCAACGGAUAAAAGGUACUCCGGGGAUAACAGGCUGAUACCGCCCAAGAGUUCAUAUCGACGGCGGUGUUUGGCACCUCGAUGUCGGCUCAUCACAUCCUGGGGCUGAAGCCGGUCCCAAGGGUAUGGCUGUUCGCCAUUUAAAGUGGUACGCGAGCUGGGUUUAGAACGUCGUGAGACAGUUCGGUCCCUAUCUGCCGUGGACGUUUGAGAUUUGAGAGGGGCUGCUCCUAGUACGAGAGGACCGGAGUGGACGAACCUCUGGUGUUCCGGUUGUCACGCCAGUGGCAUUGCCGGGUAGCUAUGUUCGGAAAAGAUAACCGCUGAAAGCAUCUAAGCGGGAAACUUGCCUCAAGAUGAGAUCUCACUGGGAACUUGAUUCCCCUGAAGGGCCGUCGAAGACUACGACGUUGAUAGGCUGGGUGUGUAAGCGUUGU